rnacentral:sRNA from 1 species
GUCGUGGGAUGUUGGGUUAAGUCCCGCAACGAGCGCAACCCCUACUGUGUGUUGUAUCACUCACACGGGACUGCCGAGAGAAACUCGGAGGAAGGUGGGGAUGACGUCAAGUCAGCAUGGCCCUUACGUCCUGGGCUACACCCACGCUACAAUGGCCGGUACAACGGGCGGCGAAACCGCGAGGUGGAGCAAAUCCCUGAAAGCCGGUCUCAGUUCGGAUUGUAGGCUGCAACUCGCCUACAUGAAGCCGGAGUUGCUAGUAACCGCAGGUCAGCAUUACUGCGGUGAAUAUGUUCCCGGGCCUUGUACACACCGCCCGUCACGUCAUGAAAGCUGGCAACACCCGAAGCCGGUGGGCUAACCGCAAGGAAGCAGCCGUCGAAGGUGGGGUUGGUGAUUGGGGACGAAGUCGUAACAAGGUAGCCGUACCGGAAGGCGCGGCUGGAUCACCUCCUUUCUAGGGAGAUCCGAGUCCCGACUCUUCGGUGGGGUCGGGGCGUUGAAGGCUCCCAGGUUGAUCGCACGGUCGCUCGUCUUCUUCCGUCAGGUGGAAGGCGUCGAGACGGGUCCGCGAGGAUCCGCUUCGGAGACCGAUCGCGACCUGACGAAAACACCGAAACCCGUUCACCAUCCGCGUUCGGAAGUUCCUGUCACUCUUCAAGGGUUAAGGGUGCAGCCGCCGGCGGCGACAUCGUGUCGACCGUGACGUCGGCACGGCCCCGGCGGGCGUUUAGCUCAGCUGGUUAGUGCACUGCCCUGAUAAGGCAGAGGUCUCUGGUUCGAGUCCAGAAACGCCCACCACACUUACCGCGAGGCAAGGGGACGUAGCUCAGUCGGCAGAGCAUCUCCUUUGCAAGGAGAGGGUCAGGAGUUCGAGUCUCCUCGUCUCCACCACCCGCUCCGCGUGAAGGCACGGAGGGUCAUCAACCUGCGAGGCCGCACUCACAGAAUUGAAUAGACCGGGUGGACCCCGGGACGACCGAACCUUCCAGGCGCUGUCCUCAAGACGGCUCCGAGGCUGGUCCUCGAGCCGUCUUCGCAUGUCCGCCUCCCAAUCGAACCCCUGAUCCGUGAUCUCCAACGGAGCUCACCGACCAGCGGAUCGCUGGAACUCCGGCCCCCGGGCCGGGACCGUCGCCCGAGCGAUCGGGCCGCACCUUAACAACUGGAUAUGUUUUUUCGGCAGUAAAUCGAUCUUCGAUUUCGCCGAGUCAGUUCAAGGAUACGAUCCCGAUCGAUCCCGUCCUUGCACCUGGCCGCCUGGUCAGAUGCUGGAAGGGGUCAAGCUACAAAGGGCACGGGGUGGAUGCCUUGGCGCCAAGAGCCGAUGAAGGGCGUGGCAGGCUGCGUAAAGCUUCGGGGAGUCGCGAGCAGACGUUGAUCCGGAGAUGU